GACGAACCGUGCGAACGUUAUUCGGAAUCACUGGGCUUAAAGCGCGUGUAGGCGGAUGAGCACGUCUGUCGCUGAAAUCCCCCGGCCCAACCGGGGAACUGCGUCCAGUACUGCGCUGCUUGAGGAUCCAAGGGGUGCAUGGAAUUCCCGGUGGAGCGGUGAAAUGCGUUGAUAUCGGGAGGAACUCCGGCGGCGAAAGCGGUGCACUGGUGGAUUACUGACGCUGAGGUGCGAAAGCCAGGGGAGCAAACGGG
rnacentral:rRNA from 1 species